GAUCAUGGCUCAGGACGAACGCUGGCGGCGUGCCUAACACAUGCAAGUCGAACGGGGUUACACGAGGUGCUUGCACCAUGUGCAACCUAGUGGCGGACGGGUGAGUAACGCGUGAGCAACCUGCCUUUCAGAGGGGGAUAACAACGGGAAACCGUUGCUAAUACCGCAUAAUACCGGAUGAUGGCAUCAUCGACCGGUCAAAGGAGCAAUCCGCUGAAAGAUGGGCUCGCGUCCCA
rnacentral:rRNA from 1 species